AUUGAACGCUGGCGGCAGGCUUAACACAUGCAAGUCGAGCGAGCGGCGGACGGGUGAGUAAUGUCUGGGAAAAUGCCUGAUGGAGGUGGACAACUACUGGAAACGGUAGCUAAUACCGCAUACCAUCAGAUGUGUCCAGAUGGGAUUAGCUAGUGGGUAGGGUAAUGGCUCACCUAGGCGACGAUCCCUAGCUGGUCUGAGAGGAUGACCAGCCACACUGGAACUGAGACACGGUCCAGACUCCUACGGGAGGCAGCAGUGGGGAAUAUUGCACAAUGGGCGCAAGCCUGAUGCAGCCAUGCCGCGUGUGUGAAGAAGGCCUUCGGAUUGUAAAGCACUUUCAGCGGGGAAGCGUUAAUCGCAGAAGAAGCACCGGCUAACUCCGUGCCAGCAGCCGCGGUAAUUC
rnacentral:rRNA from 1 species